AUAUCUCUCUGUACGGGAAGGAUGAGAAGCUUCGACUAAGGUUCGAUUCGAGCGAAAGCGAGAAAGCGUGCCGCAGGCAACGACCCGAAGGGCGAAACGCGCAGCGCUGAGUCAUCCUUCCCCCACCACCA
rnacentral:sRNA from 1 species